rnacentral:rRNA from 1 species
UACGUAGGUGGCAAGCGUUAGGCGGAAUCACUGGGCUUAAAAGCGUGUGUAGGCGGACUUCUAAGUGCCUUGUGAAAUCCCACGGCUCAACCGUGGAACUGCUGGGCAUACUGGGAGUCUUGGGCCAUUCAGGGGCAACUGGAACAAGCGGUGGAGCGGUGAAAUGCGUAGAUAUCGCUUGGAACGCCGAAGGUGAAAACAGGUUGCUGGGGAUGUGCCGACGCUGAGACACGAAAGCCAGGGGAGCAAACGGG